rnacentral:tRNA from 1 species
ACAUCUUUAGCUAAUAUGGAAAAGCAUUUUGCCUUCGAAGCACUGAAUUAUUGGUUCAAAUCCAAUAAGAUGUA